UCCCUGGUGGUCCAGUGGUUAGGACUCCCCACUUUCACUGCCAAGGGCUCAGCUUCAAUCCCUGGUCAGGGAA
rfam:TPA: Bos taurus chromosome 12, whole genome shotgun sequence.